CUGGCGGCAUGCCUUACACAUGCAAGUCGAACGGCAGCACGGGAGCAAUCCUGGUGGCGAGUGGCGAACGGGUGAGUAAUAUAUCGGAACGUGCCCGGUCGUGGGGGAUAACGUAGCGAAAGCUACGCUAAUACCGCAUACGAUCUAUGGAUGAAAGCGGGGGAUCGCAAGACCUCGCGCGAUUGGAGCGGCCGAUAUCAGAUUAGGUAGUUGGUGAGGUAAAGGCUCACCAAGCCGACGAUCUGUAGCUGGUCUGAGAGGACGACCAGCCACACUGGGACUGAGACACGGCCCAGACUCCUACGGGAGGCAGCAGUGGGGAAUUUUGGACAAUGGGCGCAAGCCUGAUCCAGCAAUGCCGCGUGCAGGAUGAAGGCCUUCGGGUUGUAAACUGCUUUGUACGGAACGAAACGGUGAGCUCUAAUACAGUUUGCUAAUGACGGUACCGUAAGAAUAAGCACCGGCUAACUACGUG
rnacentral:rRNA from 1 species